CAGUGUGAUUCGUCACACUAUCAUUAACUGAAUCCAUAGGUUAAUGAGGCGAACCGGGGGAACUGAAACAUCUAAGUACCCCGAGGAAAAGAAAUCAACCGAGAUUCCCCCAGUAGCGGCGAGCGAACGGGGAGGAGCCCAGAGCCUGAAUCAGCAUGUGUGUUAGUGGAAGCGUCUGGAAAGGCGCGCGAUACAGGGUGACAGCCCCGUACACAAAAGCGCAUGUGCUGUGAGCUCGAUGAGUAGGGCGGGACACGUGGUAUCCUGUCUGAAUAUGGGGGGACCAUCCUCCAAGGCUAAAUACUCCUGACUGACCGAUAGUGAACCAGUACCGUGAGGGAAAGGCGAAAAGAACCCCGGCGAGGGGAGUGAAAAAGAACCUGAAACCGUGUACGUACAAGCAGUGGGAGCACAGGUUUACCUGUGUGACUGCGUACCUUUUGUAUAAUGGGUCAGCGACUUAUAUUCUGUAGCAAGGUUAACCGAAU
rnacentral:rRNA from 1 species